UAGGGAAUCUUCGGCAAUGGGGGCAACCCUGACCGAGCAACGCCGCGUGAGUGAAGAAGGUUUUCGGAUCGUAAAGCUCUGUUGUAAGGGAAGAACGAGUGUGAGAGUGGAAAGUUCACACUGUGACGGUAACUUACCAGAAAGGGACGGCUAACUACGUGCCAGCAGCCGCGGUAAUACGUAGGUCCCGAGCGUUAUCCGGAUUUAUUGGGCGUAAAGCGAGCGCAGGCGGUUAGAUAAGUCUGAAGUUAAAGGCUGUGGCUUAACCAUAGUACGCUUUGGAAACUGUUUAACUUGAGUGCAGAAGGGGAGAGUGGAAUUCCAUGUGUAGCGGUGAAAUGCGUAGAUAUAUGGAGGAACACCGGUGGCGAAAGCGGCUCUCUGGUCUGUAACUGACGCUGAGGCUCGAAAGCGUGGGGAGCAAACAGGAUUAGAUACCCUGGUAGUCCACGCCGUANCGAUGAGUGCUAGGUGUUGGGUCCUUUCCGGGACUCAGUGCCGCAGCUAACGCAUUAAGCACUCCGCCUGGGGGAGUACGACCGCAAGGUU
rnacentral:rRNA from 1 species